AUACACACACACUGCCCGCCAUACACACAAACUGCCCCCCAUACACACACUGCCCCCACAUACACACACACUGCCCCUAUACACACACACUGCCCGCCAUACACACAAACUGCCCCCCAUACACACACUGCCCCCACAUACACACACUGCUCCCCCAUACACACAUACUGCCCCCAUACACACACACUGCAAUACUCACACACACUGCAACUGUUACACACAUACACUGCAUCCCUGACAUACACUGCUGCCCUCACUCACACACUACAACCUUCACACACACACACACUGCACCCCUUACACAUUGCACCACUCACACACACCACUGCUCCUAUACCUUACUACAGCCCCAUUUCCCAGCAGAUC